GACGAACGCUGGCGGCGUGCUUAACACAUGCAAGUCGAACGGAAAGGCCCUGCUUUUGUGGGGUGCUCGAGUGGCGAACGGGUGAGUAACACGUGAGUAACCUGCCCUUGACUUUGGGAUAACUUCAGGAAACUGGGGCUAAUACCGGAUAGGAGCUCCUGCUGCAUGGUGGGGGUUGGAAAGGUUCGGCGGUUGGGGAUGGACUCGCGGCUUAGCAGCUUGUUGGGGGGGUAGUGGCUUACCAAGGCUUUGACGGGUAGCCGGCCUGAGAGGGUGACCGGCCACACUGGAACGGAGACACGGACAAUACUACUACGAGAGGGCCCAGUAGCGAAUCGUCGGCAGUGGGCGAAAGCCUGACGGAGCAACGCGGCGUGAGUGAUAACAGCCUUCGGAUCGUGAAGCUCUGUUAUUGGGUGAAAACCACUUUGUACGUAACUGUGGCGGUAUUGACGGUACCGGAUCAAAAAGCCCCGGCUAACUACGUG
rnacentral:rRNA from 1 species